CCUACGGGUGGCAGCAGUGAGGAAUAUUGGUCAAUGGCCGGAAGGCUGAACCAGCCAAGCCGCGUGAGGGAGGAAGGCGCAGAGCGUCGCAGACCUCUUUGGCCGGGGGACAAAAGGCCGGACUCGUCCGGUCCUGAGGGUACCCGGAGAAAAAGCAUAGGCUAACGCCGUGCCAGCAGCCCCGGUAAUACGGGGGAUGCGACCGUUAUCCGGAUUGAUUGGGUUUAAAGGGUGCGCGGGCGGGCCGUUAAGUCGGCGGUGAAAUCGCGGGGCUCACCCCCGCCGAGCCGUCGGAACUGGGGGCCUUGAGUGCGGCAGAGGCAUGCGGAAUGCGCGGUGUAGCGGUGAAAUGCAUAGAUAUCGCGCAGAACCCCGAUUGCGAAGGCAGCGUGCCGUGCCGCCACUGACGCUGAGGCACGAAAGCGCGGGGAUCGAACAGGAUUAGAUACCCUAGUAGUC
rnacentral:rRNA from 1 species